CGUAAUAAUAGAAACUAACCAGGAUUCCCUUAGUAACGGCGAGUGAACUGGGAUACCAACAAAAUACAUGUGCCUCGCGCGCAUGAUUUAGCCCGUCGAUACUAUCCUAGCAUAUUACCGGUCUCGGCCGGUAACUCAAUAUGCGGGAAUUGUAGCAUCGUAAUAAAAAUAAAAUAUAUACACGCACACACCCACCGCGUACAUUCUUGUAAACACACAGCGUCUCCGCGUUGGAAAGCAAGUUUAUAUCCUCUUUGGAUAUGCCAUAGAGUGUGACAGCCACGUUUCACUCAUAACCGUACGCACACACACACGCCCCGUGCGCUAAUAUAUAUUUCUAUAACCUGAGUCGAGUUAUUU
rnacentral:rRNA from 2 species